GGGAGUGUAGCUCAAUGGUAGAGCACUUGCCUAGUAUGUGUGAGGUCCUGGGUUUCACUCCCAGUACCA
rnacentral:tRNA from 1 species